rnacentral:rRNA from 1 species
UUAAAUCAGUAAUAGUUUAUUUGAUGGUCUCUUACCACUUGGAUACCCGUGGUAAUUCUAGAGCUAAUACAUGCGUCGAUGCCCGACUUUUGCGGAAGGGUUGUAUUUAUUAGAUUCAAAACCAAUCGGGAUUUCGGUCCCGUUUCGGACGAUUCAUAGUAACUGUUUGGAGCGCACGGCCUUUGCGCCGGCGCCGGAUCAUUCAAGUUUCUGCCCUAUCAACUUUCGAUGGUAGGGUAUUGGCCUACCAUGGUUGCGACGGGUGACGGAGAAUUAGGGUUCGAUUCCGGAGAGGGAGCCUGAGAAACGGCUACCACAUCCAAGGAAGGCAGCAGGCGCGCAAAUUACCCAAUCCCGACACGGGGAGGUAGUGACAAUAAAUAACAAUACGGGGCUUUUUCAAGUCUCGUAAUUGGAAUGAGUCCAAUUUAAAUCCGUUAACGAGGAACAAUUGGAGGGCAAGUCUGGUGCCAGCAGCCGCGGUAAUUCCAGCUCCAAUAGCGUAUAUUAAAGUUGUUGCAGUUAAAAAGCUCGUAGUUGGACUUCAGGCCGACUCGAUCGGUCCGCUUGACGGCGUGUCACUGGUCGAGUCGGUCUUCCUCUCGAGGAGCCGGCGUGCUCUUAAUUGCGCGUGCCGGCGACUGGAGACCUUUACUUUGAGUAAAUUAGAGUGUUCAAAGCAGGCGGUCAAGCUUGAAUAGAUUAGCAUGGAAUAACGGAAGAGGACCUUUCGGUCUUGUUUUGUUGGUUUUGGGGACCGAGGUAAUGAUUAAUAGGGACAGUCGGGGGCAUUCGUAUUGAAUUGUCAGAGGUGAAAUUUCUUGGAUUUAUGAAAGACGAACGCGUGCGAAAGCAUUUGCCAAGGAUGUUUUUCAUUAAUCAAGGAACGAAAGUUGGAACGAGACGAUUAGAUACCGUCGUAGUUCCAACCAUAAACGAUGCCGCCUAGGGAUCGGAGGACGUCAAUCGUACGACUCCUUCGGCACCUUGUGAGAAAUCAAAGGCUUUGGGUUCCGGGGGGAGUAUGGUCGCAAGACUGAAACUUAAAGGAAUUGACGGAAGGGCACCACCAGGAGUGGAGCCUGCGGCUUAAUUUGACUCAACACGAGGAAACUCACCAGGUCCAGACAUAGCGAGGAUUGACAGAUCGAGAGCUCUUUCUUGAUUCUAUGGGUGGUGGUGCAUGGCCGUUCUUAGUUGGUGGAGUGAUUUGUCUGCCUAAUCGCGAUAACGAACGAGACCUUAACCUGCUAACUAGUCACGUUGCGUUUUCGGACGCGACGGUCGACUUCUUAGAGGGACUAUCGGCGUCUAGUCGAUGGAAGUUUGAGGCAAUAACAGGUCUGUGAUGCCCUUAGAUGUCCUGGGCCGCACGCGCGCUACACUGACAAAGUCAAUAAGUCGUCGUCCUGCUCCGAUAGGUGCGGGUAAUCUCGCAAACUUUGUCGUGCUGGGGAUAGACCCUUGUAAUUCUUGGUCUCGAACGAGGAAUUCCUAGUAAGCGCGAGUCAUCAGCUCGCGUUGAUUACGUCCCUGCCCUUUGUACACACCGCCCGUCGCUACUACCGAUUGGCUGGUCGGAUGAGAGCAUUGGAACGCGGUCGGGCCGGAUCACUCCGGACCGUUCUGCGCAAAGUUGUUCUAGUCUGUUUAGCUAGAGGAGGUAAAAGUCGUAACAAG